rnacentral:lncRNA from 1 species
AGCGCAAGCUGCUGCCUGUUUGCCUGUUUGCUUAAGCUCACCUCCCCCCCAGCCCCUCUCCAUCGGACCCUGUUAUUUUGAGACCCUAAGGAUACUGUGGGUUCUACACAGGUCUGCCUGGUUCCUUGCUGCAGGCUGGCUGCCCUGGAAGUCUUCUCAGGAACUAUGAGAACAUCAAGUCUGUUCAGAUGGCAUCUCCUAGACAUCUCAUUUACAUACUCUUUCUCUCUCAGGCUGGCACCCCUUGUCAUCAUGGAUUUUGCUACCCUACCAGCCAAGGAUGCUGCCUGUGGACCUUUGACGAGAACCAUGAGUCAAGAUGAGAUCCCCUCGAUCCAGUCUUUAUAUUGUUGCUAACAGAAGAUGGAAGGCUGGAUCUAUAGCUGGUCCCAGUACGUUCUCCACACUAAAGCCUGCAGAGCCGUUCAGAAGCUACCCUGUGGGCUCAAAGAGCUUGGAUGUUAUUGCCACUCUUUCUAGGUAAGGACCAAGCUCCUUUUCUUGCUCUCCUCCCACUCCCCUCCUGAUUUCUAACCCUUGCAGCGUUCCAGCUAUUUAACUGCUUGAGCAAGGUUAACUCUUGAUUGAUGGACCAUUUUGUCCACCACAAGGGCUCCGGGGAUAAAUCUGUGAGAUGAGGCUAAAUUUUAUCAACAGUUUAGGAGUGAUUCUACAUUUGAACAACUGGUUCAGCUCCUGAAGUGUGUUUGAUUUCCAUCUGUGCUCCUGAAGCCUUUCUUCUUCUAGUUGCUGGAACUUUCCACACUGCUGUCAGUCAAAAGGUCCUCUCUCCACAGCUCCUGUUGUUCUUUAGAUCUCAGCCCCUGUGUUCAGUCCAACAGGGAAACCUGCUCUGUGGCCUUCUCCAGAGCUGGGUGUGUGGAUUGUUUCUCCCUGUUUUAACCCCCUCCUAUUUAUUUAUGCAUUUUUGGCUCAACAUUCUCUGUAAUUGAUUGUGGCAUGUAUCAGUCACUUACUGCUGAAAGAAUAAAACGAGAAUCGAGUGGUUAGGUUGAGCAUUUGUUUUAAAAAGAAUAUCAUUAAGUUAUUUCCAUAUAUGCAUACAAUGAGCCUUGACCAUCCUUUCAUGGUCUCUUCUAUACUUCUAAUGCCCUUCUUCCCUUUCACAUCUCUGUGAGAUAAGAAAAUGGGUCUUUGUGGGGCUCUUUUAUUCCACUUAACAUAUUGAUUUCUAGUUCCUUCCACUUUCCUGCAAACAGCAUAGUUUCAUUCAUUAUGACACAACUAAGUUUCAUGAUGUAUGUUUACUAUAUUUUCUUUAUUUGUUCUUCCUUUGGUAGUUAUCAGGCAAUGUUUUAAAAUUCGAUGUUAUGCAUGGGUAUUGUGCAUGCUGCCCCAAUCUCUGUGAGGUCCUGUGUGCAACUGCCCUGCUGUGUCCAGAAUGCUCGGCUUCAAUGCCGUUGUCUCUCACUUCUGGCUCUUAGAGUGUUUCAGGCCAAUCUUGCACCAUGAUUUUGGAUGGGUACACACCCAAAAGUAUGUAGGUGGCAUAAAAUGGACUUGGUGAGUUUUCAAAAAUGAGGACACAAAGUUAGAUGGGUAUGGAAUGAGGGGUGGAUCUGGGAGGAGUUGUGGAAAGGUGGAUAAGUUUAAGCAAAUAUAAUGCAAAAAAUUCUCAAAGCAUUUAAUACAAAUAUUUGAUGCUAUAUGUUCCAGUGGACAUUUGUUUUUGAUUGUUUGUUUGUUUUGUUUUUUCCAUUAUACUUUUUUGGAGUCAAUUUGGCCAAAUAAUAGAAAGCCCUUGAAGAUACAUGCCUAACUUGUCAUGAGGAAACCUGGUUCCUGCCCAUUCCACAUCAACCUGUCUCUUCACUAGUUACCCAGUCUCCCAUAUUCUACUUAGAGAGCAACAAGAGACCAAAGAAAUGAUUGUGUCUACAUCCAGGUUGGUGAAUCAAUGAGUUUGUUGUGGUUGCUCCUAGGAGGAGUGUAGGUAACCAAAAGGCAGCAUCACUGUAUCGUUGAUGGGUGGGUGAUGACUCAGGAGAGCUAAAUUACUGGAGUUCCCUA